CAGUCACAUGGCAAAAUUGUUGUGGCGGAUUAGUGACAUUUUACCAAGUCUUUGGUUUCUAAAUUAAUUUUUUUAUGUACGGUUGGACUUCCCAUAGCCGAAUUGGGCUCUUUACUCACUAGUGGAUGGUUUGGGCUUCAAAUUUAGCACCAGGCUUCUCCACUUCAGUGGUCCAACUGCAAGCUGGGUCAAAAUUAAUCUAAGAGUCCAACAGAUGGAUUUAGGACAUCCAUGUUGAUCAACCAUCAACCCACAUGUUCAUGGCCUCUGCUACAAGAAUGCUACAACAUCGAGUAUUGAAUAGGGACUAUCCAUGAGCAAGGAUAAGGGCGAACAAAAAGUGGUGUGGGCUCGACAAUCAGCGGCAAACCACAGAUGAGUGUUCUUGUAUAACUCACUUAAACACUGGUUCACAUGUUCAAGAAAGUCUAUGUAAGGCAUUCAAACCUUGUAACAAUUUCGUCUGAGCCCUGCUAUAUGUUAUGCUAGCUUUAAUUUAUGAUCUACAAACCUUGUUACAAUGUGUGUAAGGUUUACAUAUUUUAUGUGAGCCUAUAAUAUGCAAACACAAUAAAAGUAUUGUGUGAACCAUAUAAAUGUAUUGUACGAACCCUAUAAAUGUAUUGUACGAACUCUAUAAAAGUGAGUGACCUUAUAAGUGUGUGACCUUAGAUAUGUCAUGUGAACAGUAGUAUCAUGCGAGCCUAUAUAUUGUGCAAGCCCACAUGUGAUACAUGCGAACCCUGCUUUCAAAUAUUUUAUGCGAGUUGAACGUUUUAUGCGAGCUUAAAUAUUUCAUGUAAGCUUAACUAUUUAUGUGAGCCGAAUGUUUUAUACAAUCUUAAAUGUUUCAUGUAAGCUUAAAUGUGUUAUGUUUGAACCCAUGUAAUAUAAGUGAAUCCAUGUUUUUGCAAGCUCUGUUGUAUUCUGAGCCGUAUUAUACUAUGUAUUGUGAAUGUCAUGAAAACAAAUCAUAUGUUGGUAUUGUGAAUGCUUGAAACCGCUAAAUAUCAUUGGCAUGCCAUAGGAUUGUGAGUACUCACCCUUUCUACUCUAUGUUAUGGUAUUGUAGCUCAGAGAUAUUGUUGGAGAGAAAAGGGAAUGUUGAGCAUAGCUCCAUUCACCAUAGAUUCCAUGGUGUGUUUGAAGAGUGUGAACAUUCGUGCUACACUUAUAUGGAGAUAGUGUUCGACUCCUUGAGUCAUAUGGAGUGUUUUGGAGAUCCACUUAUCCAAUUGUGUCAUGUGAUUACGUGGAAGAGUAUACAGUCGUACAAGUAAUAAGUAGUAAGUAAAGAGUAUCAUUUCCACAAGAACUAUUGUGUGUAUUAUUUUGAAAGUCAAGUUUAAUCAAUUUUGAAGGAACAAAUAAAAGAGAAUAUUGUUGA